UAAAUGAUUUAUAUUUACAG
rnacentral:miRNA from 1 species